CUUAAACCCAGGAGGCGGAGGUUGCAGUGAGACGAGAUUGCGCCAUUGCACUCCAGCCUGGGUGGCAGAGUGAGACUCCACCUCAAAAAAAAGAAAAAAGGAAAACCAAGCAAAAGUCACUGUCAGGGGACCUCCCACCCACCAUACAGGGGAACACUCGGCAGAGCCAGAGGCCUGGGCCCAAGUCCUGCCACCAGCUGGCUGUGAAACUGUGGUACAGCACCUUGUGUCCUGCCACCAGCCGGCUGUGAAACUGGUACAGCACCUUGUCCUCAGGUCCUUGGUUUCCUCACUUGUAAAUUCAUGGUUCUCCAUGGCAUCUCUGGUCUUCAACAUUAUUUUGCAUAGAGUCUCAGAAGCUUUAGUGUGAGCGGAUGAUAUGGGCACGAAGCAAGGCACCCAGAAGUGGGGGCAACUACUCUGCUUUCUAAAAUGCAAGGGAACCGGAAAAUCCAGGAGCCGUGCCAAAUGAGAAGAGGAACAAAUGGAGGAACAUCCCAGUCAAGUGACAUUCCUAGUGACAUUCACCAGAACAGAGUCAAGCUUUGGAUCCCAUGUUCUGUGACUUCCUCUUCACCACGCUUCCUCCACACACGUAGCAGCUCAAGGGUUUCUGAUGAGUGGGAGGCUUGACUAGAAUUGAAUUCGAGACAAGCACAAAGAUCAUGAUGCAAAUGAAAGGGACAGAGGGGAGAGAAACAGAAAACAAGUCUAUGUUCCCUUUAUGAGCUGUAACGCACACCAUGAAGGUCUGCGGCUUGGCUAUUGAGUCAGUGAGAGCGUGAACCUACUAUUAGAAGAAAAACUCUGAAUACGUCUGAACGUCAGAAAGAACGAAGUUUGGACACAUUGUCUUUAAGAACUGUAACACUCACCCCAAGGGUUUAUGGAUUCAUUCUUGAAAUCAGUGAAACCAAAAGCUUUCCAAAGUUUAACACACAGGGAAAUGACUUACUGCAAAGAACCACUCUUCCCCACGAGACUUCGAGAAGACCCGCUGUCACGGACUGAGUUGUGUCCUCUUAAAAUUCAGAUGUUGGAGUCCAAACCCCCAGUAACUCAGAGUGUGAACGUAUUUGAAGAGGUCUUUAAAGAGGUGAUGAAGGGAGAGAGACCCCAUGAGCUCGUCAAGCUCCUUCUGUGACUGAUCAGAGAUCCCACCGUGAGUCCAGCUCCUGGUCCCAUGCUCUGGAUAUAUCGGUCCCUGGCAGCGUGGCUCCAUCUCCGUAGCCUGCUUUUGACAAAAGUGGAUACAUAAAUCUAGGGGCCACCUAGCUAGUUCUAAUAAGACUUUGGAAGUCAAAAGCUAAAGAAGACCAGGGGACCAAGCUGGAAAUCAGGCUCUGCAAUCAGAUUCCAGAGGGAAUGCCAUUCCACCCAAUCACCUAGCCACAACGGUUCCCUUCCUUCAAGAUGCUGCAUGCCUCUUCAGGCGAAUGGAUUACCUUGUAAGAGUGACCUGAAAAAGCGUUAGCCCAGCCACACCGAGGCUUAACUGAGCCAUUUGAUUCUCACUGCCUCUCUCUGUUGCUUCCUCUUGCUUUCAACUACAGGGUCUUUCUGUUUAGGUGGUGAAAAAAAUGAUCGUUAAAAACAAUAAACCUGGGGACCUCUGAUACCAUGAGCCCAGCCAGAGAUCUGUGUCAAGCAAAUCCUUGCAGACAGUUCUGCCAGCCUGCAGAUGGCUGUUUGCCUCUCGUGGAUUUGAUAAGUGCUCAUUUAUGCCCAGAGGCCUCUGGGAGAUAGUGCUCAUGCUGAGCUUACAAACUGAAAACCAUUAUCUGUUCCUUACCUGAGACCCUGGGGAGCAGUCAGCUCACUCCCUGCCGAUGGCCUAAGAUAGGUACUGAUGUUACAGUUGAGGAAUAUCUAGGAGUAACAAACUUAAGUAGCUGGAAUAUGCCAAUUUUGACAAUUUGACAACAUCAUUAUAAACAUUCUGAAGUACUUACAAGUCUUUUUUUUUUUUUUUUUUUUUUUUGGGAGACAGAGUCUUACUUACUCUGUCACAGACUAAAGUGCAGUGGCGUGAUCUCGG
rnacentral:lncRNA from 1 species